AUACGUAGGGGGCGAGCGUUGUCCGGAAUGAUUGGGCGUAAAGGGCGCGUAGGCGGCCGCUUAAGUCUGGAGUGAAAGUCCUGUUUUCAAGAUGGGAAUUGCUUUGGAUACUGGGGGGCUUGAGUGCAGGAGAGGUUAUCGGAAUUCCCGGUGUAGCGGUGAAAUGCGUAGAGAUCGGGAGGAACACCAGUGGCGAAGGCGGGUAACUGGACUGCAACUGACGCUGAGGCGCGAAAGUGUGGGGAGCAAACAGGAUUAGAUACCCUGGUAGUCCACACUGUAAACGAUGAAUGCUAGGCGUAAGAGGUAUCGACCCCUUUUGUGCCGGAGUCAACACAAUAAGCAUUCCGCCUGGGGAGUACGGCCGCAAGGUUGAAACUCAAAUGAAUGGACGGGG
rnacentral:rRNA from 1 species